GACGAACGCUGGCGGCGUGCCUAAUACAUGCAAGUCGAACGCUGAAGCUUGGUGCUUGCACCGAGCGGAUGAGUUGCGAACGGGUGAGUAACGCGUAGGUAACCUGCCUGGUAGCGGGGGAUAACUAUUGGAAACGAUAGCUAAUACCGCAUAAGAGUAGAUGUUGCAUGACAUUUGCUUAAAAGGUGCAAUUGCAUCACUACCAGAUGGACCUGCGUUGUAUUAGCUAGUUGGUGAGGUAACGGCUCACCAAGGCAACGAUACAUAGCCGACCUGAGAGGGUGAUCGGCCACACUGGGACUGAGACCCGGCCCAGACUCCUACGGGAGGCAGCAGUAGGGAAUCUUCGGCAAUGGACGGAAGUCUGACCGAGCAACGCCGCGUGAGUGAAGAAGGUUUUCGGAUCGUAAAGCUCUGUUGUAAGAGAAGAACGAGUGUGAGAGUGGAAAGUUCACACUGUGACGGUAGCUUACCAGAAAGGGACGGCUAACUACGUG
rnacentral:rRNA from 1 species